rnacentral:rRNA from 1 species
UGCAGAAUCCCGUGAACCAUCGAGUCUUUGAACGCAAGUUGCGCCCGAUGCCAUUAGGUUGAGGGCACGUCUGCCUGGGCGUCACAUAUCGAAGCCUCUCGCCAAUUUCCUAUAUUGAUAGGGGUAUUGUGCAGGGCGAAUGUUGGCCUCCCGUGAGCUCUAUUGCCUCAUGGUUGGUUGAAAAUCGAGACCUUGGUAGGGUGUGCCAUGAUAGGUGGUGGCUGUGUUACGCACGAGACCAAGUAAGUCAUGUGCUGCUCUAUUGAAUUUAGGCCUCUUUUACCCACAUGCGUUUCGAAACGCUCGUGAUGAGACCUCAGGUCAGGCGGGGCUACCCGCUGAAUUUAAGCAUAUCAAUAAGCGGAGGAAAAGAAACUAACAAGGAUUCCCUUAGUAACGGCGAGCGAACCGGGAUAAGCCCACCAUGAGAAUCGGUCGCCCUCGGCGUUCGA